GCCUGGGUGGCUCAGUCGGUUAAGCGUCCGACUUCGGCUCAGGUCAUGAUCUCACGGUUCGUGGGUUCAAGCCCCGCGUCAGGCU
rnacentral:tRNA from 1 species